rnacentral:rRNA from 1 species
AAGCCAUGCAAGUUGAAUGGGAUACCUAAAUUUUCCAUAGCAAACCGCUCAGUAACACAUGAUCAACUUGCCCUAUGGAGAAAAAUAACCUCGGGAAACUGAGGAUAAUAUUUCAUAGUUGAAUAGGCUUGGAAAAGUUUUUCAAUGAAAAGGAAAAGAUAAAUGGAUCCUUUCUGCCAUAGGAUAGGAUCGUGGUCGAUUAUGGUAGUUGGUGAGGUAAUGGCUCACCAAGCCGAUAAUCGAUAGGGGCCGUGAGAGCGGGAGCCCCGAGAUGGGUACUGAGACACCGACCCAGACCUUACGAGGUGCAGCAGGCGCGAGACCUCCGCAAUACACGAAAGUGUGACGGGGUUACCCAAAGUGUUCAUUUUUGAACUGUGGUAGGUGAGUAAUGUCCCCUACUAGAAAGGAGAGGGCAAGGCUGGUGCCAGCCGCCGCGGUAAAACCAGCUCUUCAAGUGGUCGGGAUGAUUAUUGGGCUUAAAGUGUCCGUAGCCGGNUUAGUAAGUUCCUGGUAAAAUCAGGUAGCUUAACUAUCUGUAUGCUAGGAAUACUACUAUACUAGAGGCCGGGAGAGGUCUGAGGUACU